rnacentral:rRNA from 1 species
AUGAAGCACUACGCUGACAAAAGAAGAAAAGAAAGAGAAUUUUCUAUAGGUGACAUGGUGUACUUGAAGUUGCAGCCUUACAGACACACAUCCCUCAGCUUGCACAGACAGCUUAAGCUGCAUUCCAAGUUUUAUGGGCCUUUCCGAGUUCUCCAAAGAAUUGGCAAGGUCCCUUACCAACUACUUCUACCUGAAGGUUGCCAGCUGCAUCACACAUUUCAUGUGAGCCAGCUCAAGAAGCACAUUGGCCCUCAAGUCUUCAUCCCUUCCAAGCAUUUGCCCCUGGUAGGACCUGAUGGACUUAUUCAGAUGGAGCCUGAAGCAGCAUUGGAAAGGAAACUUAUUCCACGACCUCAAGGUAACAUCAGUAUCCAGGUGGUGCGGUGGCUAGUCAAAUGGGUUAACCUGCCCCUUGAAGCUGCCACUUGGGAGGACUCGGCUUCCAUUCAGAAGGUUUUCCCAUCAUUCCAAGCUUGA